UACGGGGGGGGGCAAGCGUUGUUCGGAAUUACUGGGCGUAAAGGGCUCGUAGGCGGCCAACUAAGUCGGAUGUGAAAUCCCCAGGCUUAACCUGGGAACUGCAUCCGAUACUGGAUGGCUUGAAUCCGGGAGAGGGAUGCAGAAUUCCAGGUGUAGCGGUGAAAUGCGUAGAUAUCGGGAGGAACACCAGUGGCGAAGGCGGCUUUCUGGCCUGUUCUUGACGCUGAGGCGGCGAAAAGCUAGGGGAGCAAACGGGG
rnacentral:rRNA from 1 species